CACUAGACUAAAUAAUCCACUUACUCCUUACAGAGCGAGAGCGAGGAGGACAACACACUCCAAAAUGUCUUCUCCUAUCAAGUGAGAUUGUAAAGACAUACCUUGAGGUCGGAUGGCUGCGGUGAACACGCCAGUGUCUCAGAGAGAAGCCAAGGAGCCAAGCUCACAGCUGCCUUUUUUGACAGCUACUGCAGGAGGAGGAAUAAUCCACUGAUGUCUCCGGAUGGACAAAAAGAAAGAGGUUAAGAGUUCCCACAAAGAAAAUGAAGGACCUGCAUAAUUCUCCUCCCCCAAAUGAGCAAUCUGAUUGUUUUGCAUUCGUCAGAUGGGAGGACGGUUAUGCCGGCAAAAUCUUUACAGGAGCAGACAUUUUGUCAAGAGAUGAAGCUCCUGUGCAGAUCUUAGAUCUUAAAACAGGAGAUUCUGUUUUAGCAAGGUGGUCAGAUGGUAAAUUUUAUAGGGCAACGGUUGAAUAUACUUUAGGAAAAGAUCAGACUCAGUCACCAAAAGGCUGCCAAACUCCACAGGAGUCAUUUUUAAAUAUGUUGGAAGCCAGUGAGCCAUCACAUUCAACAUCAGGGUCUGACACCAUAACAGUAGAUCGGAACCCACUGUCUGAACAUGAAAAUAUCACAGCACUGAAUCUAUCAAGUGACGGGGGACUUGCAACAGGCAGCAACACUGCCUAUGGGUAAGCUUGACAUUUAUUACCUCAUGCCUAAGGGGCUAUAAAUUCAAAACGUUUAAUCUUUGGUGAAUUUCCAAACCAAAAGAACAGCAUUAAUUUAAACAUUAUUUUAUUUGCCAUCAAAUCAUUGUUUCAGUAAAUAGUAUGUUAAUAACAAAUACAAAUAUUUGAUGUAUUAAAUUGCCCAAAACCCAACAUCUGUAUCCACUCUGAUUUCAGGAUUAAAAGUUCUGAACUUGUGGAUCCUGAAAACAAUUAUUUGCCAUCAUUUUAUUACGUUUUAGUUAUGGUCAAAACUGCAUAGAGUGUAAAUAUCCACUCUACAAUCUCACGUGUCAAAAAUAGGGAGUAACAAAAUGAACAUUUCAUGUCAUGGUUACAA